AUUGAACGCUGGCGGCAGGCCUAACACAUGCAAGUCGAGCGGAUGAAGGGAGCUUGCUCCUGGAUUCAGCGGCGGACGGGUGAGUAAUGCCUAGGAAUCUGCCUGGUAGUGGGGGAUAACGUCCGGAAACGGGCGCUAAUACCGCAUACGUCCUGAGGGAGAAAGUGGGGGAUCUUCGGACCUCACGCUAUCAGAUGAGCCUAGGUCGGAUUAGCUAGGUGGUGGGGUAAAGGCCUAACAAGGCGACGAUCCGUAACUGGUCUGAGAGGAUGAUCAGUCACACUGGAACUGAGACACGGUCCAGACUCCUACGGGAGGCAGCAGUGGGGAAUAUUGGACAAUGGGCGAAAGCCUGAUCCAGCCAUGCCGCGUGUGUGAAGAAGGUCUUCGGAUUGUAAAGCACUUUAAGUUGGGAGGAAGGGCAGUAAGUUAAUACCUUGCUGUUUUGACGUUACCAACAGAAUAAGCACCGGCUAACUUCGUG
rnacentral:rRNA from 1 species